rnacentral:tRNA from 1 species
GGAGUUGGUAGCUCAGUGGUAGAGUGCACGCUUUGUAUGUAUGAUGUCCUGGGUUCAAUCCUCAGCUUCUCCC